rnacentral:snoRNA from 1 species
AUAGCACUUUCACAGGUCCACCCCAGCUGUGGGGCUAGGAUUUGGUAGCUGGUGCUGAAAAUAAACUCUUCAGCCCCCCAACUCUGCCCAGUCUAAAUCAGUGGCUGUAGCAUUUGUGGGGGAAAAUAGGCUGAGACAGUA